rnacentral:RNase_P_RNA from 1 species
GUGGAAGAUUGGAUGGUCGCUCGGUGCCUCGCGCAUCGAGAGGAAAGUCCGGACUCCAUGGGCAGGGCGCUGGGUAACUCCCAGGCGGAGCAAUCCGACACCAGCACCACAGAAAACAAACCGCCGAUGGCCGACGCGACGGGAUCCCAUCUGGUCGCCGAGGCUCAGGUAAGGGUGAAACGGCGGGGUAAGAGCCCACCGCGGUGGUGGCAACAUCACCGGCACGGUAAGCG